rnacentral:rRNA from 1 species
GAUGAACGCUGGCGGCGUGCCUAAUACAUGCAAGUCGAGCGAACAGACGAGGAGCUUGCUCCUCUGACGUUAGCGGUGGACGGGUGAGUAACACGUGGAUAACCUACCUAUAAGACUGGGAUAACUUCGGGAAACCGGAGCUAAUACCGGAUAACAUGUUGAACCGCAUGGUUCAACAGUGAAAGACGGUCUUGCUGUCACUUAUAGAUGGAUCCGCGCCGCAUUAGCUAGUUGGUAAGGUAACGGCUUACCAAGGCAACGAUGCGUAGCCGACCUGAGAGGGUGAUCGGCCACACUGGAACUGAGACACGGUCCAGACUCCUACGGGAGGCAGCAGUAGGGAAUCUUCCGCAAUGGGCGAAAGCCUGACGGAGCAACGCCGCGUGAGUGAAGAAGGUCUUCGGAUCGUAAAACUCUGUUAUUAGGGAAGAACAAAUGUGUAAGUAACUAUGCACGUCUUGACGGUACCUAAUCAGAAAGCCACGGCUAACUACGU